rnacentral:rRNA from 1 species
CUGGGAAUCUUGCGCAAUGGGCGAAAGCCUGACGCAGCGACACCGCGUGUGGGAAGAAGGCCUUCGGGUUGUAAACCACUGUGGCGAGGGAUGACUUCGACAGUACCUCGCUAGAAAGCACCUGCUAACCACGUGCCAGAAGCCUCGGUAAUACGUGGGGUGCAAGCGUUAUCCGGAUUUACUGGGCGUAAAGCGUACCGUCGGCGUCUUGGCAAGUCUUCCGUUUAAGCCUGGGGCUCAACUUCAGACCAGCGGAGGAAACUAUCAAGAUUGAGUUUGUUCGGGGGAACUAGAAUUCUCGGUGGAGGGGUGAAAUCCGUAGAUAUCGAGAGGAAUACCAGUCGCGAAGGCGGGUUCCUAGAACAAUACUGACGCUCAUGGACGAAAGUCUGGGUAGCAA